rnacentral:rRNA from 1 species
GUGGGGAAUUUUGGACAAUGGGCGAAAGCCUGAUCCAGCCAUGCCGCGUGCAGGAUGAAGGCCUUCGGGUUGUAAACUGCUUUUGUACGGAACGAAAAGACUCUGGUUAAUACCUGGGGUCCAUGACGGUACCGUAAGAAUAAGCACCGGCUAACUACGUGCCAGCAGCCGCGGUAAUACGUAGGGUGCAAGCGUUAAUCGGAAUUACUGGGCGUAAAGCGUGCGCAGGCGGUUAUAUAAGACAGAUGUGAAAUCCCCGGGCUCAACCUGGGAACUGCAUUUGUGACUGUAUAGCUAGAGUACGGCAGAGGGGGAUGGAAUUCCGCGUGUAGCAGUGAAAUGCGUAGAUAUGCGGAGGAACACCGAUGGCGAAGGCAAUCCCCUGGGCCUGUACUGACGCUCAUGCACGAAAGCGUGGGGAGCAAACAGGAUUAGAUACCCCGGUAGUCC